ACUUCCACUUCCAGACUCCUGUACUGGACUACAUUUAGACUUUAGAAAGAGAAACCCUAAGUCCUAACAUCUAAAAUUCUUAGCAACAACAAUUCACAACACAACAACCAACCUCUCGCCUCUUCCUCUCGACUCUCGAGUCUCGCCGACUGCCUGACUCGCCGUCUCGGCUCUUCCUCUCGUCGUCUCGCCUCUCCCUCUCGCCAUAGCCAGAGCCUAGAGCAGCAGAUGGAUAUUUGAAGGCUAUUACUUAUUUUGACUGCGAUGACUAUGUCCAGGUAGUAGGAAAAUUUAAUUCGAGGGCGUUUAGUGCUGUAUGGAAAGCAAGGUUGAAAGAGCUCUAAUUUUAUGGAGAAAUUGCAAAGGGUCAGAAUCGAACAGUGAAGCAGAAGUUGGAGUAUUAUACUCAGAAUCUCUUUGUGUUGUUCUUCGGUUCUAAGCAGUCGGUAAUGAUGAUACAGUCAAAUCUCUCUAUAACAGCCUUGUUCCGAAAUUUUUUGACUGCUAUAGUGAAGAAACUUUUUGACUUCUCUAUGACAAUCUUGUUCCGAAUUUUUUUGACUGCUAUAGUGAAGUAGUGAUGUUAUAGAGGACAUAUUAUAACAUAAUAUAAUAUUUGAUUCCGAGAAAACUGUUAUAA